GCGUUGGUAGUUUAAUAAAAUAGGUUCUUUCUAGGUACAAGUUGGGGUUGACUCUUCAACGCA
rnacentral:tRNA from 1 species